rnacentral:tRNA from 1 species
UGUUCUGUGGCUUAGUUGGUUAAAGCGCCAGACUAGCGUUACGAAGUCGUGGGUUCAAAUCCCACCAAAACGA